AUAAUUCAUACCUUUCCAUCAAGCAGUCCUAAGGAACGGGCACAUGCUUCUUUCCACGAGACAUCAGAUGAAUUUACAUAGCCUUCAUAUAUUCCUCGACAGUUCUUCACUUUAUCCUGUAGGUUUCGAAGUGAUUUGGUUGAAUAUUGCCUAUAUGCUCAAAACAGAGGACAUCAGCUAGUGAAUGAUUUCUCAAGGAUUUUGAUCCAGUACCAUCUUCAUUGCUUGAACCAGGUGAUUUCCUCCCAAGGCAUAUAAGUUGACAGUAGCCAGCAUCUCUUCCUUGAAAGAGUCUUUGGAUUCCACCUUUUAACGUAUACAUGCAAAUUCAUAUUGGCAGGUACAGAAAAAGGUACCUGCAUCAAAGCCUAUUGUUUUUGCUCUGGAAAGUGGAAGUAUAUAAUAUUUCUUCUGUCAGAACUAAGCAUUGACUGAGUCUUUGGAGAGUAUAAGAUGGUAAUUGAAAUAAACUAAAUGAAACAGCUUUCAAGUCUCAAAGUUUGAUGUUAAAAGACUGUUGACUCUCGUCAACUGUGAAACCAGUUCCUACAACUGGCUACUUGAAUGACCUGGAAUCUCUUGUACAUGUUUCAGAAACAGCAUUACUUUGAGAUAAGACUUGCUUAAACUUAAUUACAUGUCUCCCAUAUAAAAAAAAAACAUCAUAUUUAUGUGUACCAUUGAUUGUGAUUUUUCUUAAUUUAACCUGCCUUAAGAUAUACCCAUAGUUCUACAUUUUUUAAAGAUGUUGAAUGUAAAAAAAAUAAUUUUCAUUUAAGUUACCUUGGUGAAACACCGCACCUCUUCUGUGGUACUGUAAUGUAACUGGAUUUUAAAUUAUGGGUUAUUUGUGGGUUGUUGGGGCUUACAGUGUAGUUGUCCCCAUUAUUUUUUUUGGAUAUUAUAACGGAUGCAUGAACAUGGACAACCAUUUUUAAUCAAAGAAUUGAGAAACACUUGACAACACAUUUUGAAAAUUCAAAGGAUUUUUGUAUUUAUAUGUUGAUUAGAUAACCUUUAAUGCAUGUAUAUCAUCUUUCAGUGUUUAUAUUUGCAAACAUGUUGCCUACCUGCACAUUUUCCUUUCAGACUUUGCAUUUCUGUGUCAACAUGUGUAUAUUGUGGAAAUAUACAUCCAUCUCCCUCAGGCCAUGUUAUUUCUCAGAUGUUAAAAUUUUACAAAUUGUUACAUAUUUUUUAGACCUUCAUCAAAAUUUUUUUAAUUGAACAAAAGAUAAAGCACUAUUAAAUAUUUAAAAUUUACUACACCUAAUUACGAUAUUAUAUAACAAUAAGCAAUGUUCAUAAUAAGACAGUACUCGGCCGCUUAGCUCUAUAGGUAGAGUCUCGGUGUACGGGUCGCUGAAUCAAGAGUUCGAUCCUCGUGCUGGCCAUCUGUUCUCCAUGACUAUUUGAAAAACGACAUUGUGUCUGAAAUCAUUAGUCCUCUGCCUCUGAUACAUGUGGGGAAGUUGGCAGUCACUUGUGGAGAACAGGUUUUUACUCAUACAGAAUCCAGGAAAACUGGUUAGGUUAACUGCCCGCCGUAAGUACUGUUGAAAAAUACUGUUAAACCCAAUACAAACAAUCAUAUCAUUAUAUGACAGCAGUGAACUACUCUUGACAUAAUGAAACACAAAUGGUUAUGGUCAAUGUUUUUCUGAUAAUCAUUGGCUUUAAAACUAAUGCAUAUAUUUAUUUUACUAGUACUGCUGCCUUUUCCAUUUUUUCCCAAGCCGUUAUCAGUUAGGAUACUUAUGAAGUCCGCAUUAUUCAUAGUGGAGUUGAGCUGAAAUGAAAAAUAAAUGAUUUUUUAAGUUUUUCUGUCUUUUCAUAAGGGAAAUGUUUUCAAAAGCAUCUUCAUUGCAAAUGUUAAAGUGUAGGAGGAGUCUGAAAUGCAUUUUAUACUUUUUGAAAUUAUCAUAAAUAUGUUACCUUUUUUUCCUUUGCAACUCGUGAACUGGAAACAAACAAAUUUUGUAGCAUU